UAUCACAUAUUUAAAAAGGUACAGCACAUUUUGUAUAUAGUAGAAUUCAUGUGUUUGUGCUGCAGGGUAAAAGACAUUCAAAAUGUGUAUAUCGACACCACAUUCCUUGAUCCCAAGUAUCAUCAGAUACCUAGCAGGGAGGCUUGUUUGACAGGGAUAAGCCAGCUGGUCCAGGACUGGGUCUGUCAGAGUCCGUGCCAUGGUGUUUGGUUAAACUGCAAGGCAGCUUAUGGUUACGAGUACCUUUUCACCAAUCUAGAACAAGCUCACAGAUACAUGUGAAGAGCUUGGAUAUGUUCAAAAAAAUGCCUGAAAUUCUGUCACAUGACCACCGACCGUGCAACGCAGAUCCACGCUUGUAGGCACCCCAAGGAUGAGGAGUUCUUCAGGGCAAAGAGGAUACCGUGCGGCUCCACGGCUCCGGAUGGCGUUCCUCUAAACAUCAUCAGCAUCAAACCCUCAACCAUAUGGUUUGGAGAACGGACCAGAAAGACCUCCGUCAUUGUCAAGAUGGGAAGUAGUUCCUACAGAGCAUGCUUUUCUUUUCAUUCCUCUUAUUUGAGAGAAAUCCCACCGAGAAGGAUAUUCUUCAUAUGACACACCAUACACAAUGUUAGCCUAUCAUAAGACCGUGUCUAUUUCCUGUGACUAGGUUAAGGACUUUCUCUCCUACAUCUGUCCUGUUAACAUCUAUCCUAAUGUCAUUCCGUUGUGCAAGACACUGCAGGACAUCGCAGAGCUGUAAGGACAAACCUUACAAAAAUUACAAAACCAAAACUGAAAUAAAAAAGUUAAAUGGAAAUAUUAAAAAAACAACAAAAACUAUUAUAAAUGACAAAAGCACAACAAAUUCUAAAGUACUAAAUUCUAAUACAAUUCUAGGUUCACAUUGUCAAAUGUUGAUAACCUCAGACUCAAAACUUGUCACUAUGGCAACCCAACAUCAAAACAGAUCCAUGUGCAGCUUUGUUGUUGAUAAGAGCAAAAUAUUUUCCAAUCUAUAUUCACCUCUACAUGUUCAUAUAUAUAUAUA